GUGUAAACGGGGCCUAAAACGCCAAAAUAAAUAAUUUCGCCGUAGUCUGCAUCACACAUGGUGGAGAAACGUACAUUUUAUAAUAAUAGCAAUAAUAUGGCUUUAUGAACGGUUGCUCAUUUGCAUCAAGACGAUUCACUCGGUUAGAAAAGCAAUGUGUUCCACAGUACGAACAUUGUGGAGAUGGAAAGAAUAAAACAAUAAACUCGUGUUAUUCAAAUCCCACAUCAAACUUCACUUUAACCUAAGCAAACCUAUGAAAAUUUUCACACAACACAUUGAACAUGGGCGUGAAAUAUUAUUUUGAAUAGUCACAAGAAAAAAAUUGAUGUCCGAAUGGUGUUUGAAUAGAGGUUAAAGUUUAACUUCUUUGUUAUUAAAUUAGCACUUGUCAGCCAAUCUAUCAUUCUCUCUGAAAAUGUUUUAAAACGCGAAAUACUGACAAUGAAAUAUCUAUUUCGGAUCGUCAAUAGAAAAUAAUUGAUGUCUGUAAUGUAUAGGGUUUGAAUUGAGUUUGAAGUUAAACGAAUUGUUGUUCAAGGCAACCGCAGGUCGUGUAUGAUAAAAAUAAAACACAGAAAGUUU